UACGUAGGUGGCAAGCGUUGUCCGGAUUUACUGGGCGUAAAGAGCGCGCAGGCGGUCGUUCAAGUCGCGUGUGAAAGCCCACGGCUCAACCGUGGAGGGUCAUUGGAAACUGGGAGACUUGAGUGCAGAAGAGGAAAGUGGAAUUCCAUGUGUAGCGGUGAAAUGCGUAGAGAUAUGGAGGAACACCAGUGGCGAAGGCGACUUUCUGGUCUGUAACUGACACUGAGGCGCGAAAGCGUGGGGAGCAAACAGG
rnacentral:rRNA from 1 species